GACAGAGGCCUCAAGCGUUAGGCGGAAUCACUGGGCUUAAAGCGUGUGUAGGCGGACGCCUAAGUACCUUGUGAAAAUCCCACGGCUCACCCGUGGAACGGCUGGGUAUACUGGGCGUCUUGGGCCAACUAGGGGCAACUGGAACAAGCGGUGGAGCGGUGAAAUGCGUAGAUAUCGCUUGGAACGCCAACGGUGAAAACAGGGUUGC
rnacentral:rRNA from 1 species